UACAGAGGUCUCAAGCGUUAUUCGGAUUCACUGGGCGUAAAGGGUGCGCAGGCGGUCGGGUGUGUCAGAUGUGAAAUCCCGAGGCUCAACCUCGGAACUGCGUCUGAAACUACUCGACUAGAGUACUGGAGAGGGUAACGGAAUUCACGGUGUAGCAGUGAAAUGCGUAGAUAUCGUGAGGAACACCAGAGGCGAAGGCGGUUACCUGGACAGUUACUGACGCUCAGGCACGAAAGCAUGGGGAGCAAAAGGG
rnacentral:rRNA from 1 species